rnacentral:rRNA from 1 species
GACGUAGGAUGCAAGCGUUGUCCGGAAUUAUUGGGCGUAAAGAGUUCGUAGGCGGUUAAUUAAGUCUGAUGUUAAAGACGGGAGCUCAACUCCCGCAUGGCAUUGGAUACUGGUUAGCUAGAGUACGGUAGAGGUCUCGGGAAUUCCAGGUGUAGCGGUGAAAUGCGUAGAUAUCUGGAGGAACACCGGUGGCGAAAGCGCGAGACUGGGCCGUAACUGACGCUGAGGAACGAAAGCUAGGGUAGCCAAAGGG